GUGCUCGCUUCGGCAGCACAUAUACUAAAAUUGGAACGAUACAGAGAAGAUUAGCAUGGCCCCUGCACAAAAAUUAACCUCUUUUAGUGUGUAUAUAGUAGAAUCCUG
rnacentral:snRNA from 1 species